rnacentral:rRNA from 1 species
AACGAACGCUGGCGGCAGGCCUAACACAUGCAAGUCGAGCGAGGACUUCGGUCCUAGCGGCGGACGGGUGAGUAACGCGUGGGAACGUGCCCUUUGCUACGGAAUAGCCCCGGGAAACUGGGAGUAAUACCGUAUGUGCCCUUCGGGGGAAAGAUUUAUCGGCAAAGGAUCGGCCCGCGUUGGAUUAGGUAGUUGGGGGGGUAAUGGCCUACCAAGCCGACGAUCCAUAGCUGGUUUGAGAGGAUGAUCAGCCACACUGGGAGGGGGAAACGGCCCAGACUCCUACGGGGGGCAGCAGUGGGAAAUCUUAGAAAAUGGGGGAAACCUUGAUCGAGCAAUGCCGCGUAAGCGAUGAAGGCCUUAGGGUUGUAAAGCUCUUUCAGUGGGGAAGAUAAUGACGGUACCCACAGAAGAAGCCCCGGCUAACUCCGUGCCAGCCGCCGCAGUAACAC